UAAAUGCAAGGGCGGUCCAUACGUGUGCAGAAGGAAAGAAAAUCCAUGUGAUUUUCCAUUAUUCAAUAAUAUAAAAAGAAUAUUUGGCAUCCACCAAGAACACUCAUUCUGCCAUAUAUUCGGGCAUUCACACAUGCACACUUGGAAACUCAGCGAAGCCGAAUGAAGCAGGAGGAGAUCCUAUGCUAUAUUCAAUAGGAAAUCGGCCAAAAGGGUUGAAUGGAAAAGAUUCCUCGCGAAAAUAAAAUCAAAAAUUCUUGGGAAGAAAUUUGAAAAAAGGAAAGCCGGGGUACUGGAAGAUUGAAGAGAAUCAUGGGGAUCGUUCACUAUAUAAGUGGUUGAAGUUCUCUUCAAGAGAAAGGCCACAUAUAUUGAAUACACGGCCACAGAAGUGAGAGAGAGAGAGCUUCGGAGAAUCCCGAGAAGAGAGAGAGUCGCGGAAGGUGAGAACAAUAGAGAGAAGGAGCCUCGGCUGAGACCAUUACUCAGCCGCAAUCUCAUCUCAGCCUCCAGCGACGAGCUGCUACAACAACAAUUUCAUUAUCGGCAGCCAUCAAUAACCGCAGCCGCGAUGUCCUUCCAAACCGAAAACACCAGUUGCAGCCGUCAACCAGCCCGCGAGACCAAGCCGGAGAGGCUGCUGUCCUGCUCGUGUGACCACACCACCCUCCAUUGGCGACCACCUUGCUGCUACCGUGAACCCCCAUAGCCCCGGUGAUCUGCAGUAGUGACACUGCGGCUGUUUAUUUGCCCCGCACCAGUCCACGACGCUCCGGUGAUCCAACUCGGUGUUCCUGAUGAAAAAUCGGCAAGCUUCAGGCGCGCAUCACGGCUUUCCCGGUGUGACCAUCGUGUCCCAUAGCCUUGGCGUGAAGUCCAGCUCAGUCUAUAACAAACCCCCCUCAGUCCCACGAAUUCCACUCUCGGCCAGGACAGAAAGAUUUCACAACAUCCAGGAGGCUCCAGGUGGUGAUUGUGGAACUAUUCAAUGGCUUAAUCCGAGUAAAAGUCAAAUUUUGAGUAUAGAUUCCUGGUGAGCUGAUUCGGUAGAAAGAAGGGGACAAAGGCCAAAAGGUGUUCUUGGCGUCUUCCUGUAGUCCUUCAUCGUGCGUCCGAGGUCUGUCGACAACACUGGAGAAACUCUCGCUCUCGCGCUUAAUUUCCUUCCGCAGGUUUAGCAAACCAGAGCUAUUACAUUUCACGCCGAGCAGCACUUCCAUGGCCAAUCACCAGGCCUUGCACCGCGAGCCACAAAUCCAAAAGUCCCUCGUCGCAAGCCCAAAUUAGCCGAAGUUAAGAGGACUUGACUCAAAUACGCAAAACUAUGUGAUCAGACCAUCCUCUUAACUUCACUUUGCUAAACCUUUUAGAAAGAAAUCGAGCAUCACGUUUCAUGUGCAUGUCUAUGUAAUUGGCAUCAAGGUCAUCGGUGAAGUAAGUCCUCUAACCCUCCGUCUUGCAAUUUACUUACUGCAUAUCUCUGGUCGGUCCAUGGUCAGUCGAGGUUAGCAAUGGACUCGAUGUCAUUUCACUUUGGAAGUAAUAAUUGCAUUUUUUUUUUCAAAAAGAGAGGAAAUAAAGAACCAAGAUUUUUGGUGAAUUUAUUUCCAACUUAUGUUUUCAUUUCCCCGAACAUAUCAUGAGUCAUUGCUUUCCUGAGUAAUUUUUUUUGCCGUUGUUUUUUUCGAAGAAUCCCGUUACUAGUUAUUUCAAAGAAAAUUCGAAAAAUGGCUUGAAAAAUGAAAAAAAAAAUGGAAAAGUGAAAUAGGGCAUCCAGACUGAGUUAUGGACCGAUUUAGUCUGAAGUCAUAUGCUUAUUAUUAUCUCUUCGUAGGUGAUUAUGGAUCGUGUACCAUCAACCGUUCGUACGUGGCCACAAGCAAAAAAUACCGAUCAAAAUGAAGUGUUGAAUCGUGUUGCUAAUGACAUGAACAAGCGAAUUGCAAGCCACCAAAGUCAAGGUGAUGAGCUGCGUCCUACUGUUGCUUGUCUAGUCAAGCAAAAGCGUCGUGUUGACAUGGAUAAGAUAGUUUCCUAACUAGACCAGGAUUGCAUGUUUUGAAUUUAUCCAAUUAGACCUAUCUUCUAGAUUAGACUGCAUGUUAGGGUACUAUCUAUUUAAUAAAGAUAAGUUUCCAAAUUAAAAUAGGAUUUAAUGUAAAUUAUUUCUUAGUUUGAAUAGUAUAACUUUUCAA